AAGGAUCAUUACCGAGAUAGGGGCUCCGGCCCCGAACCUCCAACCCGUGUGCACCCACCCUCGUUGCUUUGACGGGGCCACGCCCAGGCUGGCUCGGCACCCCUUCAGCGGGGUCCACCCGUCACGAGCCCAUGACAACCCCCCUAUCGGUGACGUCUGAGCGACCGAGCAACCAUUCAAAACUUUCAACAACGGAUCUCUUGGUUCUGGCGUCGAUGAAGAACGCAGCGAAAUGCGAUAAGUAAUGUGAAUUGCAGAAUUCAGUGAAUCAUCGAAUCUUUGAACGCACAUUGCGCCCUUUGGCACUCCAGGGGGCAUGCCUGUCCGAGCGUCAUCAGACCCCUCAAGCUCCGCUUGGUGUUGGGCGUUCACACCCCCUCGGGGGUGCGCCCCAAAGCCAUUGGCGGCUCAGGAUGGCUCCAGGCGUAGUGGUUUCCCGCCUCCGGAGCUCCAGCCUGAACCGGCCAGACAACAACCACCCCCCCCAUAUCGACCUCGGAUCAGGUAGGGAUACCCGCUGAACUUAA
rnacentral:rRNA from 1 species